rnacentral:rRNA from 1 species
GAUGAACGCUGGCGGCGUGCCUAAUACAUGCAAGUCGAGCGAACGGACGAGAAGCUUGCUUCUCUGAUGUUAGCGGCGGACGGGUGAGUAACACGUGGAUAACCUACCUAUAAGACUGGGAUAACUUCGGGAAACCGGAGCUAAUACCGGAUAAUAUUUUGAACCGCAUGGUUCAAAAGUGAAAGGCGGUCUUGCUGUCACCUAUAGAUGGAUCCGCGCUGCAUUAGCUAGUUGGUAAGGUAACGGCUUACCAAGGCAACGAUGCAUAGCCGACCUGAGAGGGUGAUCGGCCACACUGGAACUGAGACACGGUCCAGACUCCUACGGGAGGCAGCAGUAGGGAAUCUUCCGCAAUGGGCGAAAGCCUGACGGAGCAACGCCGCGUGAGUGAUGAAGGUCUUCGGAUCGUAAAACUCUGUUAUUAGGGAAGAACAUAUGUGUAAGUAACUGUGCACAUCUUGACGGUACCUAAUCAGAAAGCCACGGCUAACUACGUG